UGAAUCUGCACUGUAUCUCACGCUGCCCCUUUCCCCUGACAUGCCCUACUUCCAUGAACAAAAGACAGGACAAGCGUGCAUCAUAGAAAAGCGCGUAUAAUCUUGGCCCGGCUUUUCACAGAAUGCUUGACUCACUCCUGCACACUCCGCAGUUCAAAGGUACGAGACUUCCUUAUUUAAAAUCUCAGCUGCAAGUCAGGAGCAUACUGUGUGAUAUUUGUGAUCAAUCAUAACUGCAGAAAAAGAUUGCUCUGGCUCGAAAUAAUAAAAAAAAGAUCCUAUCCAUAAAGUGGUGAUCUUUUGAGGGAUGAACUCCUCAGAGGAAAGUCGAGCUGUGCUAGACAGACUGUUCAGAGCCCCAGUAGACGGACAGAUUAAUGGAGUGUGCCUUCAUAUACAGUAGUCGUCUUAAACCUUAGAUGAAGUUGAGUGCAACACUCAAAGCACAGGAGGCGGCGUGUGGGGAAAUUUAUAUAACCUACUGAGU